AAAAAGGCAAACCAUGGGUUUCUGUGUCCAACUUUGACUGUCCGUCUUAUAUGAUUUUUUUUAUAAUUCGUAUUUUCAUUGCUGUUAGAUGAUAAAACAUGAUUAAUAUUUUAUGCGUGACUUGUCUUUUUAAUUUUUUUUAUAAUUUUUUCAAAUAAGACGGACAGUCAAACGUUUGGCACGGAAACUAGGGUUUGUCUUUUU
rfam:Oryza sativa Japonica Group DNA, chromosome 8, cultivar: Nipponbare, complete sequence.